rnacentral:rRNA from 1 species
AUACCAUUAAUUUUCAUGAACCCCUAAUUUAUAAUGAAUGACUCCAUAUUUAUAUGGAAGACACCAUGCUAGGAUUAGUAACAAGAAUUUAUAAUUCUCCAAAAUGCAAAUAUAAACCAACAUGGAUAGACCAUUGGUAGUUACCGAACCUAAAUUUACUGCAAUAACACCCACAAGAAAACUCUGCAGUACUUACUCGUUAACCUAACACCAGCGCAUUACAGGAAAGAUUUAAAAAAAGAGAAGGAAUUCGGCAAAUGACGGCCCCGCCUGUUUACCAAAAACAUCGCCUCUUGACUUAUAAUAAGAGGUCCAGCCUGCCCAGUGAAUUUUAAACGGCCGCGGUAUCCUAACCGCGCGAAGGUAGCAUAAUCACUUGUUCUUUAAAUGGGGACUCGUAUCAACGGCAUCACGAGGGUUUUACUGUCUCCUCUUUUUGAUCAGUGAAAUUGAUCUUCCCGUGAAGAAGCGGGAAUAUUUUUAUAAGACGAGAAGACCCCAUGGAGCUUUAAACCAAAUAACAACUUAACUACUUAUCCCACAAUAAAUUUAAGCCCUGUUAUAAGGUUUUUGGUUGGGGUGACCGCGGAGUAAAGCACAUCCUCCACGACGGAAAGAACAUAAUCUUUAUUUAAGAACCACACUUCUAGAAAUUAGUAUACUAACGUUUACUGACCCGACAAUCGAUCAACGGACCAAGUUACCCUGGGGAUAACAGCGCAAUCUACUUCAAGAGCUCAUAUCGACAAGUAGGCUUACGACCUCGAUGUUGGAUCAGGGUAUCCCGGUGGUGCAGCCGCUACCGAAGGUUCGUUUGUUCAACGAUUAAAACCCUACGUGAUCUGAU